rnacentral:rRNA from 1 species
AGCGAACGUUUGCGGCGGGCCUAACACAUGCAAGUCGAACGCACUAGCAAUAGUGAGUGGCGCACGGGUGCGUAACACGUGGGUAAUCAACCCUUCAGCCUGGGAUAACGACUCGAAAGGGUCGCUAAUACCGGAUACGGCGCGAGAGGCUUCGGCUUCUCACGAGAAAGCCACGCAAGGGGCACUGAAGGACGAGCCUGCGGCCCAUCAGCUAGUUGGUGAGGUAAGAGCUCACCAAGGCUAAGACGGGUAGCUGGUCUGAGAGGAUGAUCAGCCACACUGGAACUGAGACACGGUCCAGACUCCUACGGGAGGCAGCAGUGGGGAAUAUUGCGCAAUGGGCGAAAGCCUGACGCAGCCACGCCGCGUGAGCGAUGAAGGCCUCGGUCGUAAAGCGUCUGUGGGAGAGACGAAGAAAGACCUGUGAAGAGCAGGCCUUGACGGUAGUCUCCUUAGCAAGCACCGGCUAACUCCGUG